AGCGAACGCUGGCGGCAGGCCUAACACAUGCAAGUCGAACGAACUCUUCGGAGUUAGUGGCGGACGGGUGAGUAACACGUGGGAACGUGCCUUUUGGUUCGGAAUAACUCAGGGAAACUUGUGCUAAUACCGAAUGUGCCCUUCGGGGGAAAGAUUUAUCGCCAUUAGAGCGGCCCGCGUCUGAUUAGCUAGUUGGUGAGGUAACGGCUCACCAAGGCGACGAUCAGUAGCUGGUCUGAGAGGAUGACCAGCCACACUGGGACUGAGACACGGCCCAGACUCCUACGGGAGGCAGCAGUGGGGAAUCUUGCGCAAUGGGCGAAAGCCUGACGCAGCCAUGCCGCGUGAAUGAUGAAGGUCUUAGGAUGGUAAAAUUCUUUCACCGGGGACGAUAAUGACGGUACCCGGAGAAGAAGCCCCGGCUAACUUCGU
rnacentral:rRNA from 1 species